UGAUAACAAGAAAAAAAAGGAAGUGCUGGACUUUGAAAAGAACGAAGAAGUUUUGGGAAGAAGAUUGCCAAAAAAAUGGUCCUGAGUUCUUUGAAGAAAAUUUUCGUAUGAGCAUAGAAUCUUUCAAUGAGCUUUGCAAUCGUUUGAAAAAUUUGGAGAAGCAAGACACCAGCUUUAGAUGUGCAAUUUGUUUA